UACGGAGGGUGCAAGCGUUAUCCGGAUUCACUGGGUUUAAAGGGUGUGUAGGCGGGCUGUUAAGUCAGUGGUGAAAUCUCCGGGCUCAACCCGGAAACUGCCAUUGAUACUAUCAGUCUUGAAUAUCGUUGAGGCAGGCGGAAUAUAUCAAUGUAGCGGUGAAAUGCAUAGAUAUGAUAUAGAACACCAAUUGCGAAGGCAGCUUGCUAAACGAUCAUUGACGCUGAGGCACGAAAGCGUGGGGAUCAAACAGG
rnacentral:rRNA from 1 species